GUGCCAGCCGCCGCGGUAAGACGAACCGUGCGAACGUUAUUCGGAUUCACUGGGCUUAAAGGGCGCGUAGGCGGGCGGUCAAGUCAGAGGUGAAAGCCUCCAGCUCAACUGGAGAAGUGCCCCUGAUACUGGCUGUCUCGAGGGAGGUAGGGGCGUGUGGAACUUCCGGUGGAGCGGUGAAAUGCGUAGAUAUCGGAAGGAACGCCGGUGGCGAAAGCGACGCGCUGGACCUCUUCUGACGCUGAGGCGCGAAAGCCAGGGGAGCAAACGGGAUUAGAUACCCCAGUAGUCC
rnacentral:rRNA from 1 species